rnacentral:rRNA from 1 species
AUUGAACGCUGGCGGAAUGCUUUACACAUGCAAGUCGAACGGCAGCACGGGGGCAACCCUGGUGGCGAGUGGCGAACGGGUGAGUAAUACAUCGGAACGUGCCCGGCCGCGGGGGAGAACGUAGCGAAAGUUACGCUAAUACCGCAUACGAUCUGAGGAUGAAAGCGGGGGACCUUCGGGCCUCGCGCGAUCGGAGCGGCCGAUGUCAGAUUAGGUAGUUGGUGGGGUAAAGGCCUACCAAGCCGACGAUCUGUAGCUAGUCUGAGAGGACGAGCAGCCACACUGGAACUGAGACACGGCCCAGACUCCUACGGGAGGCAGCAGUGGGGAAUUUUGGACAAUGGGCGCAAGCCUGAUCCAGCCAUACCGCGUGCAGGACGAAGGCCUUCGGGUUGUAAACUGCUUUUGUAUGGAACGAAAAGGCUCUGGCUAAUACCUGGGGCUCAUGACGGUACCGUAAGAAUAAGCACCGGCUAACUACGUG